rnacentral:lncRNA from 1 species
GGGGGCCUUGGUCACACUCAGAGCUGACGUCCAGUGCGGCCCUUGCUGAGGACUCGAGCGAACAGAUCUCUACCCAGCCCCCGCCCCACGCGCACCCAGCCUGGGUCAGCUCGCCCUGCCCGCAGCCACGCAGCUGGUGGCUAAGCGCGGGCUCCGGGUUCAGGCUGCCUUGAGCUCUGUUGGUUCCCUCUGAAAGUGCUGAUAAUGAUAGCAGGAGCACCAUUGAAGGAGAAUUAGACAAACUGGAGUCUACUGAGAUGAGGCUGUUGGGAAUGGCCCUGGUACCACAUCCUGAGCAGGGAUGGCCGAUGGAAUGGGGAGAAGACUCAGGUGGGGCUUGAGUGUGUCCUCUGAUGACUGAA